ACGGGAGGCAGCAGUGGGGAAUAUUGCACAAUGGGGGAAACCCUGAUGCAGCGACGCCGCGUGAGUGAAGAAGUAUUUCGGUAUGUAAAGCUCUAUCAGCAGGGAAGAAAAUGACGGUACCUGACUAAGAAGCCCCGGCUAACUACGUGCCAGCAGCCGCGGUAAUACGUAGGGGGCAAGCGUUAUCCGGAUUUACUGGGUGUAAAGGGAGCGUAGACGGUCUGGCAAGUCUGAUGUGAAAGGCAGGGGCUCAACUCCUGGACUGCAUUGGAAACUGUCAGUCUUGAGUGUCGGAGAGGUAAGCGGAAUUCCUGGUGUAGUAGUGAAAUGCGUAGAUAUCAGGAGGAACACCGGUGGCGAAGGCGGUUUACUGGACCACAACUGACGCUGAGACACGAAAGCGUGGGGAGCAAACAGGAUUAGAUACCCUGGUA
rnacentral:rRNA from 1 species